rnacentral:rRNA from 1 species
GAUGAACGCUGGCGGCGUGCCUAAUACAUGCAAGUCGAACGAGUUCUGAUUAUUGAAAGGUGCUUGCAUCUUGAUUUAAUUUUGAACGAGUGGCGGACGGGUGAGUAACACGUGGGUAACCUGCCCUUAAGUGGGGGAUAACAUUUGGAAACAGAUGCUAAUACCGCAUAAAUCCAAGAACCGCAUGGUUCUUGGCUGAAAGAUGGCGUAAGCUAUCGCUUUUGGAUGGACCCGCGGCGUAUUAGCUAGUUGGUGAGGUAACGGCUCACCAAGGCAAUGAUACGUAGCCGAACUGAGAGGUUGAUCGGCCACAUUGGGACUGAGACACGGCCCAAACUCCUACGGGAGGCAGCAGUAGGGAAUCUUCCACAAUGGACGCAAGUCUGAUGGAGCAACGCCGCGUGAGUGAAGAAGGCUUUCGGGUCGUAAAACUCUGUUGUUGGAGAAGAAUGGUCGGCAGAGUAACUGUUGUCGGCGUGACGGUAUCCAACCAGAAAGCCACGGCUAACUACGUGCCAGCAGCCGCGGUAAUACGUAGGUGGCAAGCGUUAUCCGGAUUUAUUGGGCGUAAAGCGAGCGCAGGCGGUUUUUUAAGUCUGAUGUGAAAGCCCUCGGCUUAACCGAGGAAGUGCAUCGGAAACUGGGAAACUUGAGUGCA